UCGUUUUUAUACGAUACAGAAAUCUGACAAUCCUUUGCAAUUUCCUACAGUCAAGUCACGGCCUUGAAUCUCCAACAUAAACGGAAUAAACAAGACUGAGCGUUGAAGUCAUUGCCGUUUUCUGGUCCAGUCACGGCCCUAAAUCUCCAACAUAAACGGAAUAAACAAGACUGAGCGUUGAAGUCGUGGUACAGGCGAUUUAUAAAAGAAAUAACAAACUUCAUCUACCAAAAAAGCGAGCUUUGCCACAAGAAACGCGGUCAUCCUUUUCAUUGUAAAUGGUCCUGCAACUCCAAUUCGGCAGCAUCACACACAUCGCAGUUGAUACAAAAAUCUAUUACCGUUUUCUGGGUCCGUUUUUGCAACUAGCAUUUUUAUUAAAAAUCUAACAAUCUUUUGCAAUGGACAUCUUAUCGUAACUGGCAAGUCGUGUUUAGGUGAGCGUUUUAUAAAAUUAUCAAAGCUUGUAAGAAUUGCAAGAAAUUUUUGCGACUGUAUUAAUUUGUAUUGCUUAAUAUUUUAUUUGGAUAGUGUGUUUGUACAGUGGCUGUUUUGUUUUGAAACAAUUGCUGAACAUUUGUUACAUUCAUUGAGAAUCGUGAUUAAUACGCUAGAAUACAGCUCAACUUGACUUUAUUAAACUCGGCAGUUCUGGUGA